rnacentral:tRNA from 1 species
GCCGGGGUAGCUCAGUUGGUAGAGCACUUCACUCGUAACGAAGAGGUCGCGAGUUCGAUCCUCGCCUCCGGCU